UACGAAGGGGGCUAGCGUUGUUCGGAAUCACUGGGCGUAAAGGGCGCGUAGGCGGCCGAUCAAGUCGGGGGUGAAAGCCUGUGGCUCAACCACAGAAUGGCCUUCGAUACUGUUUGGCUUGAGACCGGAAGAGGUCAGUGGAACUGCGAGUGUAGAGGUGAAAUUCGUAGAUAUUCGCAAGAACACCAGUGGUGAAGGCGGCUGACUGGUCCGGUUCUGACGCUGAGGCGCGAAAGCGUGGGGAGCAAACAGG
rnacentral:rRNA from 1 species